ACUAGAUAUAUUCGGACUUUUAUAGAAGAAUUAUCAAGACUAAUUAACAUGGGGAUGCUAAUUAGCCAAAGGUGUGCUUUUUAUGAUUUAGUGACUUUUUUUUAUUAAUACAUUGGUGUCCAUCUUAAGAAUUUUGACUAUGAAUCUCUUGAUAUUUUUUUUUUUGAAACGCAGCAUGGUUUUUUCUUGUUGUUUGCUCAAUAUGAUUAUUUUUAUUUGAAUUCAAUAUUUAGUGUUAUGUUCUGAUCUUAAUUAAGAUGAAAUUUUAUUUUGUGUAAAUACUUAAUUUAUUUGUUCUUCCAUCCUGGAGGAGUUUUAUAACAUGCUUAAUCUUUUAUCCAUGACACAAAGAAAUGUUGCGUUUCUAGUCUUCAUUGUACAGGAAUGGGUGUUUGAAAACAAAAUCAAAAUUGUGUGAGUUAUUUAAAUCCCGAGUGCUAGAAUAGAACAAUAGGAGAUGUACAUAAUGUAAUUAAGAGGUUAACUGUUGCAGUACUUGCCGAGUGCUAUUGAGACAAGUAUCUAGGCAUAUUGUAAUGUAAUUAUCUUAAUCUCUUCCUGCUGUAUGUUGCUGCGAUGCAGUCAAACGGAUCUACAUGAAAUCCAAAAUAUAUGUAGAAAAAAUUGUUCGGUCGAAUGUGAGUUGCGCGCGCCAUGAUUGCUUGCGUCACAGAGGCGCGCAAUUCAAAACACAUUCCACAUUACAAAAAUAUGUGUUGAGGUUCAUCUAACUUGUAUGAAUUUUUUGACAUAGGAUGGAUAUGCUGUGUAAUACGACGUUGUAUACAUAUAAAUACAAAAACUCAAGAAUUCAAUAAAAUGUUGAAAUCCAAAU
rnacentral:misc_RNA from 1 species